GACGAACGCUGGCGGCACGCUUAACACAUGCAAGUCGAACGAGAGAAGAGAAGCUUGCUUUUCUGAUCUAGUGGCGGACGGGUGAGUAACACGUGAGCAAUCUGCCUUUCAGAGGGGGAUACCGAUUGGAAACGAUCGUUAAUACCGCAUAACAUAAUUGAACCGCAUGAUUUGAUUAUCAAAGUUUUAUCGCCGCUAGAUGAGCUCGCGUCUGAUUAGCUAGUUGGUAAGGUAACGGCUUACCAAGGCGACGAUCAGUAGCCGGGCUGAGAGGUUGAUCGGCCACAUUGGGACUGAGGCACGGCCCGGGCACCUUCGGGAGGCAGCGGUAGGGAAUAUUACACAAUGGGGGUGACUCUGAUGCGGCGAUGGCGCGUGAGGGAAGAAGGUUUUGGGAGUGUAAACCUCUGUCUUCAGGGACGAAAAAAGACGGUACCUGAGGAGGAAGCUCCGGCUAACUACGUG
rnacentral:rRNA from 1 species